AUUUAUAAUUGAAUAUUUCCUGAGACGUGGGUGCCGUUUGGCUUAAUGCAUUGCCUGCCGAGGAUACAAGACUUUUUAAGGGUUUUCUAAGUCCUUGUGCUUUGGCAUAAGGACUUUAUUUUUUUAGAA
rfam:Dehalococcoides sp. CBDB1 complete genome